UCCAGAAUCUGAAAAAGUCCUAUGUUCAUGUGGUCCCAACGUUUCAGAUAAAGGACAGUGGACCUGUACCUUUACAAGGGCACUGUUUCACUUGGCCUGUUUAUAAUUAAUUAUUGCAUAUCUCUGCGCCUCAACUUCCUCAUCUAUAAAAUGAGACAAUAACAUCUGUUCUGACAUAUAAAAUGAAAAGUGUUGCAAACAAGUAAAAGGCAUUAUUACUGUUACUUCUCUCAUCACCCUUUUCCUAACGUGCUUUCUAUUCUAUUUAUUUUUGAGUCUUUGCCAAGAACCAUCUUUUUCAUAGCUGGUGCUCAAUAAACAUUGUGAGACUUGGGUGUAGACACGUGCGCAAAAUGGCAAGUCAGGAGUGAUUCUCUCAGUGUCACAUCUGCUACCGUAUGAAGAGGAGGCUGGAGGCCAGAACUAUAUGGCACACUGCGGCAUAAGGACCCUGUCUUCCGUUCACCAAUUCUGGCACAUUUCUAAAAGGAUUAACUGGUCACAGACGCCUCUCU
rnacentral:lncRNA from 1 species